GGGUAUGCUAAACAGGGUGCCUGAGUGAGCUUCCUCCUCAGUUCACUUACCGCUUGGUCCUGAGGCUCCCCCCAGUUCCAGGUAGUUUCCUUUUUAAGCAGGUGUAAGAGUGGUUUUGUUAUUUCUGCAUAGUUAUCGAUAAACUUACGGGAGUAGUUAGUCAUACCAAGGAACGAUCUUAAUUCCCUGAUAUUUGAAGGUGUUUUAGCCUUUAGUACGGCUUCAACCUUCUUCCUCUGGGGAUUUAAUCCUUCAGAAG
rnacentral:lncRNA from 1 species